rnacentral:rRNA from 1 species
GAUGAACGCUGGCGGCGUGCCUAAUACAUGCAAGUCGAGCGAACAGACGAGGAGCUUGCUCCUUUGACGUUAGCGGCGGACGGGUGAGUAACACGUGGGUAACCUACCUAUAAGACUGGGAUAACUUCGGGAAACCGGAGCUAAUACCGGAUAAUAUUUCGAACCGCAUGGUUCGAUAGUGAAAGAUGGCUUUGCUAUCACUUAUAGAUGGACCUGCGCCGUAUUAGCUAGUUGGUAAGGUAACGGCUUACCAAGGCAACGAUACGUAGCCGACCUGAGAGGGUGAUCGGCCACACUGGAACUGAGACACGGUCCAGACUCCUACGGGAGGCAGCAGUAGGGAAUCUUCCGCAAUGGGCGAAAGCCUGACGGAGCAACGCCGCGUGAGUGAUGAAGGGCUUCGGAUCGUAAAACUCUGUUAUUAGGGAAGAACAAACGUGUAAGUAACUGUGCACGUCUUGAUGGUACCUAAUCAGAAAGCCACGGCUAACUACGUG